rnacentral:tRNA from 1 species
CAUUAAGAAGCUAAACUGGGUCAAGCAUUAGCCUUUUAAGCUAAGAAUUGGUGACUCCCAACCACCCUUAAUGA